ensembl:misc_RNA 7SK 7SK RNA
AUGUGAGGGGGAUCCGGCUGUGACAUCUGUCACCCCAUUGAUUGCCAGGAUUGAUUCGGUUGAUCUGGCUGGUUAGCCUCAUGUCCCCUUCUUCCUUUCCAAUU